rnacentral:misc_RNA from 1 species
UGGCUCUCGCAUCGAUGAAGAACGCAGCGAAAUGCGAUAAGUAAUGUGAAUUGCAGAAUUCAGUGAAUCAUCGAAUCUUUGAACGCACCUUGCACCCUUUGGUAUUCCGAGGGGUACACCUGUUUGAGUGUCAUUGUAAUCUCACCCUUCGACUCUUUGUCGUUGUGUUGUGGAACUGGAUGCUGCUGUGCUGUGACAGCUCAUCUGAAAUAUCUGAGCACAUCCUGGAUUUGCAGUGUGUUCGGUGUGAUAAAUCUUCACCGGAGUUGACCUCAGGUCACACUUGCUUGACCAUGGCUCUGUGCUUCCAACUGUCUCAAGUGGACAAUAUCUGACAUUUUGACCUCAAAUCAGGUGGGAUUACCCGCUGA